UUUAUAUGAGAGUUUGAUCCUGGCUCAGGAUGAACGCUGGCGGCGUGCCUAAUACAUGCAAGUCGAACGAGUUCUCGUUGAUGAUCGGUGCUUGCACUGAGAUUCAACAUGGAACGAGUGGCGGACGGGUGAGUAACACGUGGGUAACCUGCCCUUAAGUGGGGGAUAACAUUUGGAAACAGAUGCUAAUACCGCAUAGAUCCAAGAACCGCAUGGUUC
rnacentral:rRNA from 1 species